rnacentral:rRNA from 1 species
CCUACGGGUGGCAGCAGUGAGGAAUAUUGGUCAAUGGACGCAAGUCUGAACCAGCCAUGCCGCGUGCAGGAAGACGGCUCUAUGAGUUGUAAACUGCUUUUGUACGAGGGUAAACUCAGAUACGCGUAUCUUUCUGUAUGUACCCUACCAAUAAGGAUCGGCUAACUCCGUGCCAGCAGCCGCGGUAAUACGGAGGAUUCAAGCGUUAUCCGGAUUUAUUGGGUUUAAAGGGUCCGUAGGCGGUCGGGUAAGUUAGAGGUGAAAUCCCGGGGCUCAACUUCGGAAUUGCCUCUGAUACUGUUAGGCUAGAGAGUAGUUGCGGUAGGCGGAAUGUGUGGUGUAGCGGUGAAAUGCUUAGAGAUCAUGCAGAACACCGAUUGCGAAGGCAGCUUACC